AACGAACGCUGGCGGCGUGGAUAAGACAUGCAAGUCGAACGAGACUUUCAGCUGUAGCAAUACAGUUGAAAGUUUAGUGGCGAACGGGUGCGUAACACGUGGGCAAUCUGCCGAGAAGUGGGGGAUAGCUCGCCGAAAGGCGAAUUAAUACCGCAUAUGAUCAGGAAAGACAUCUUUCCGACAUCAAAGCCGGGGCAACCUGGCGCUUCUUGAUGGGCCCGCGGCCUAUCAGCUAGUUGGUGAGUAACGGCUCACCAAGGCAUUGACGGGUAGCUGGUCUGAGAGGACGACCAGUCACACUGGAACUGAGACACGGUCCAGACACCUACGGGUGGCAGCAGUCGAGAAUUUUUCNCAAUGGGGAACCCUGAAGGAGCGACGCCGCGUGGAGGAUGAAGGUCUUCGGGUUGUAACUCCU
rnacentral:rRNA from 1 species